GCGCUCGUAACUCAGCGGUAGAGUGCCAUCCUUAUAAGAUGGAAGUCCUUGGUCCGAACCCAAGCGAGCGCA
rfam:Candidatus Roizmanbacteria bacterium RIFCSPLOWO2_01_FTLL_37_12 rifcsplowo2_01_scaffold_177, whole genome shotgun sequence.